UCUUCAUCUUCUUGAAGUUUCUUUUAUUCUGUUUGAUUUAGUCUCCGUUUUUCAUGUUAGUGGUUUUGCCCUUUUGAAAAAGUGAUGCUGUAAAAGCUGCUUGGACGGGCGGGUGAGUGGCUGGCCCCAGGGUGGGCCCCAGGCGGGCAGAGCUGGCUGGAUGAGGUGGGGACGGGCCUGGGGCUCCACCGGCUCUUGGUUGCACAGGCAGCCAGUCCCCCCAUUUCCUCCGCACCCUCGUCCCUUUUGUCAGAGAUGCCUGUGCGUCCGCUCCUGACCAUCCCGGUUCUGCACAAGCAGGUGUGUUCUGGUUGGCAAGGGCUCAUGUUUGGUGUUUCUCCCUUUCUGAGUCAGUCACUGCUUACAGAACUUCGUGGACAUGUCCCAUUUCUCUCCUUUCCUCUCCUGUUGUCUUUAUCCUUCUGUUCCCAUCUUGGGGUCUCAGGAUGGAGUGGGAAUAAAUGUGGGUUCAGUUCUCCAGGUUUAAUUCGUUUCACUGGAAGUCCUGUUGGUCAAACAUGACCUAAGCACCUGCUGUAUGCAGAACAGUGCUGAGUACAUUCCUCCAUGCCAAAGAUUUGCUGCCCUGCAGGGAGCAAGGCACCCACUCCUUCUAGCUUCCCUGGGGUGUGCUCCCCGAGGAAGGGGAGGACCAGCCCAGCCGUUGCAGGUCUGAAGGAGACUGGCCAGGCAGGUGGCCUGGACAGCAGCUGGUCCUGGAGAGAAAUCCAGUCCCUGUACUGCAGCAGUCAGGUGACUCCCUACCUUCUCCAGGGCCAGAGGCUGAAUUAACCCCAGUUUGGUCCUAGGUUUUUGACGCAACAAAUACCACCCGAGAACGGAGAGCGACCAUCUUUAAUUUUGGGGAACAGAAUGGCUACAAGACUUUUUUCGUUGAGUCCAUCUGUGUGGACCCUGAGGUCAUAGCUGCUAACAUCGUGCAAGUGAAACUGGGCAGCCCUGACUAUGUCAACCGGGACAGUGACGAGGCCGCAGAGGAUUUCAUGAGGCGCAUCGAGUGCUAUGAGAAUUCAUACGAGUCUCUGGAUGAGGACCUGGACAGCAGAAGUCGUGGGCUAGAGGCGACUUACAGAACCCCUGUUGCCUUAUCUGGAGUUCUGCGAGUCAGAAUUUCCCACUUUUCCAUCAUAAAAUCAAGGCCCUUCCCACAGGCAUUCGCGAACAUGACAUGCUCUUUACUUGCACAGUCUGUGUUUUGAGAAGGGGGCAGCGGUGCCCAGACUCUGCGUAGUGGUCCAUGCGGGAUAGCUGCCCGCCUCCCUCUGAAAAGAAAGAUCCAGCAGCAGAGAGUGGUGGGCGGGGUGGGGUCUUUAGGCCCAUAAGGGGGCAUUCAGCUGGGGUUCUUACAGCAGCGGUCAACAAACUUUCUACAAAGGGUCAGGUAGUAAAUAUUUUAGGCUUUGGGGCAGACAGCCAACUCAGCCACUGUAGUGCAAAAGGAAUGUAGACGGCAUGUAAAUAAAGGGGCUCGACCAUGUUUACCAGAACAGGCUGUGGGCUGAGUGUGACUUGUUGGCCGUUGUUGCCAAGUCCUGUCUUACGUAAGUGGGGGCAGUGGUUAAGUAAAUAACUGUGAGACCCCUUGGUAAAGUGUUAACACGGUCAUUAUAAACCAUACCAAAGAGAUGCAGGAAAAUGAAUGUUAGGCACUGAGUGAAAAAGCUGGAAUAUAAAUUUGUGCUUUGAUCACUUAUAUACAAUACAUGUAAACCGAGGAAAACAAGCGGCUGGUGGCGGGGUGGUUUCUGGGGCCUGGACUUCUGGACUGGAUGAGUACAGCUGGCCUUUGCAGCCAGUCCCAGCUGGCUGGAACCACAUGACGCUUGCUGGCUUAGCCUCUCUCUGGUUGUCUGUGUAUCCCCUGGUCUGCACAGCACAGCAUUUCUCCUCAUGGCUCUGUGAUGUGACCACAGUAGAGGGGCUUAUCGGGAGCAGCUCCUGUUGGAUUUGUCAGUAAACGUUGGUGGUGUCUGUACAACACCCUAAACCUUAACCAAGGUCCCGUGGUCCAGACAGUGAGAGCUCAGAUGAGCACAACCAGAGGGCUCUGAGCUGAAGGAACCCAAGUACAAUGCCUGAGAAGCCCCACCUUUUCCUCCUGUUGCUCCCCACCCUAUCC